UGGGGUAAAGGCCUACCAAGGCGACGAUCAGUAGCUGGUCUGAGAGGACGACCAGCCACAUUGGGACUGAGACACGGCCCAAACUCCUACGGGAGGCAGCAGUGGGGAAUUUUGGACAAUGGGGGCAACCCUGAUCCAGCCAUGCCGCGUGCAGGAAGAAGGCCUUCGGGUUGUAAACUGCUUUUGUCAGGAACGAAACGGAAACGGGUAACAUACGUUUCUAAUGACGGUACCUGAAGAAUAAGCACCGGCUAACUAC
rnacentral:rRNA from 1 species